GGUUAAGCGACUAAGCGUACACGGUGGAUGCCCUGGCAGUCAGAGGCGAUGAAGGACGUGCUAAUCUGCGAUAAGCGUCGGUAAGGUGAUAUGAACCGUUAUAACCGGCGAUUUCCGAAUGGGGAAACCCAGUGUGAUUCGUCACACUAUCAUUAACUGAAUCCAUAGGUUAAUGAGGCGAACCGGGGGAACUGAAACAUCUAAGUACCCCGAGGAAAAGAAAUCAACCGAGAUUCCCCCAGUAGCGGCGAGCGAACGGGGAGCAGCCCAGAGCCUGAAUCAGUGUGUGUGUUAGUGGAAGCGUCUGGAAAGGCGCGCGAUACAGGGUGACAGCCCCGUACACAAAAAUGCACAUGCUGUGAGCUCGAUGAGUAGGGCGGGACACGUGGUAUCCUGUCUGAAUAUGGGGGGACCAUCCUCCAAGGCUAAAUACUCCUGACUGACCGAUAGUGAACCAGUACCGUGAGGGAAAGGCGAAAAGAACCCCGGCGAGGGGAGUGAAAAAGAACCUGAAACCGUGUACGUACAAGCAGUGGGAGCACGCUUAGGCGUGUGACUGCGUACCUUUUGUAUAAUGGGUCAGCGACUUAUAUUCUGUAGCAAGGUUAACCGAAUAGGGGAGCCGAAGGGAAACCGAGUCUUAACUGGGCGUUAAGUUGCAGGGUAUAGACCCGAAACCCGGUGAUCUAGCCAUGGGCAGGUUGAAGGUUGGGUAACACUAACUGGAGGACCGAACCGACUAAUGUUGAAAAAUUAGCGGAUGACUUGUGGCUGGGGGUGAAAGGCCAAUCAAACCGGGAGAUAGCUGGUUCUCCCCGAAAGCUAUUUAGGUAGCGCCUCGUGAAUUCAUCUCCGGGGGUAGAGCACUGUUUCGGCAAGGGGGUCAUCCCGACUUACCAACCCGAUGCAAACUGCGAAUACCGGAGAAUGUUAUCACGGGAGACACACGGCGGGUGCUAACGUCCGUCGUGAAGAGGGAAACAACCCAGACCGCCAGCUAAGGUCCCAAAGUCAUGGUUAAGUGGGAAACGAUGUGGGAAGGCCCAGACAGCCAGGAUGUUGGCUUAGAAGCAGCCAUCAUUUAAAGAAAGCGUAAUAGCUCACUGGUCGAGUCGGCCUGCGCGGAAGAUGUAACGGGGCUAAACCAUGCACCGAAGCUGCGGCAGCGACGCUGAUGCGUUGUUGGGUAGGGGAGCGUUCUGUAAGCCUGCGAAGGUGUGCUGUGAGGCAUGCUGGAGGUAUCAGAAGUGCGAAUGCUGACAUAAGUAACGAUAAAGCGGGUGAAAAGCCCGCUCGCCGGAAGACCAAGGGUUCCUGUCCAACGUUAAUCGGGGCAGGGUGAGUCGACCCCUAAGGCGAGGCCGAAAGGCGUAGUCGAUGGGAAACAGGUUAAUAUUCCUGUACUUGGUGUUACUGCGAAGGGGGGACGGAGAAGGCUAUGUUGGCCGGGCGACGGUUGUCCCGGUUUAAGCGUGUAGGCUGGUUUUCCAGGCAAAUCCGGAAAACUAAGGCUGAGGCGUGAUGACGAGGCACUACGGUGCUGAAGCAACAAAUGCCCUGCUUCCAGGAAAAGCCUCUAAGCAUCAGGUAACAUCAAAUCGUACCCCAAACCGACACAGGUGGUCAGGUAGAGAAUACCAAGGCGCUUGAGAGAACUCGGGUGAAGGAACUAGGCAAAAUGGUGCCGUAACUUCGGGAGAAGGCACGCUGAUAUGUAGGUGAAGCGACUUGCUCGUGGAGCUGAAAUCAGUCGAAGAUACCAGCUGGCUGCAACUGUUUAUUAAAAACACAGCACUGUGCAAACACGAAAGUGGACGUAUACGGUGUGACGCCUGCCCGGUGCCGGAAGGUUAAUUGAUGGGGUCAGCGCAAGCGAAGCUCUUGAUCGAAGCCCCGGUAAACGGCGGCCGUAACUAUAACGGUCCUAAGGUAGCGAAAUUCCUUGUCGGGUAAGUUCCGACCUGCACGAAUGGCGUAAUGAUGGCCAGGCUGUCUCCACCCGAGACUCAGUGAAAUUGAACUCGCUGUGAAGAUGCAGUGUACCCGCGGCAAGACGGAAAGACCCCGUGAACCUUUACUAUAGCUUGACACUGAACAUUGAGCCUUGAUGUGUAGGAUAGGUGGGAGGCUUUGAAGUGUGGACGCCAGUCUGCAUGGAGCCGACCUUGAAAUACCACCCUUUAAUGUUUGAUGUUCUAACGUUGACCCGUGAUCCGGGUUGCGGACAGUGUCUGGUGGGUAGUUUGACUGGGGCGGUCUCCUCCUAAAGAGUAACGGAGGAGCACGAAGGUUGGCUAAUCCUGGUCGGACAUCAGGAGGUUAGUGCAAUGGCAUAAGCCAGCUUGACUGCGAGCGUGACGGCGCGAGCAGGUGCGAAAGCAGGUCAUAGUGAUCCGGUGGUUCUGAAUGGAAGGGCCAUCGCUCAACGGAUAAAAGGUACUCCGGGGAUAACAGGCUGAUACCGCCCAAGAGUUCAUAUCGACGGCGGUGUUUGGCACCUCGAUGUCGGCUCAUCACAUCCUGGGGCUGAAGUAGGUCCCAAGGGUAUGGCUGUUCGCCAUUUAAAGUGGUACGCGAGCUGGGUUUAGAACGUCGUGAGACAGUUCGGUCCCUAUCUGCCGUGGGCGCUGGAGAACUGAGGGGGGCUGCUCCUAGUACGAGAGGACCGGAGUGGACGCAUCACUGGUGUUCGGGUUGUCAUGCCAAUGGCACUGCCCGGUAGCUAAAUGCGGAAGAGAUAAGUGCUGAAAGCAUCUAAGCACGAAACUUGCCCCGAGAUGAGUUCUCCCUGACUCCUUGAGAGUCCUGAAGGAACGUUGAAGACGACGACGUUGAUAGGCCGGGUGUGUAAGCGCAGCGAUGCGUUGAGCUAACCGGUACUAAUGAACCGUGAGGCUUAACCUU
rnacentral:rRNA from 1 species